rnacentral:rRNA from 1 species
AUUGAACGCUGGCGGAAUGCUUUACACAUGCAAGUCGAACGGCAGCACGGGGGCAACUCUGGUGGCGAGUGGCGAACGGGUGAGUAAUGUAUCGGAACGUGCCCAGUCGUGGGGGAUAACGUAGUGAAAAUUACGCUAAUACCGCAUACGAACUAUGGAUGAAAGCGGGGGAUCGCAAGACCUCGCGCGAUUGGAGCGGCCGAUAUCAGAUUAGGUAGUUGGUGGGGUAAAGGCCCACCAAGCCAACGAUCUGUAGCUGGUCUGAGAGGACGACCAGCCACACUGGAACUGAGACACGGUCCAGACUCCUACGGGAGGCAGCAGUGGGGAAUUUUGGACAAUGGGCGAAAGCCUGAUCCAGCCAUUCCGCGUGCAGGAUGAAGGCCCUCGGGUUGUAAACUGCUUUUGUACAGAACGAAAAGGUUUCUACUAAUACUAGGAGCUCAUGACGGUACUGUAAGAAUAAGCACCGGCUAACUACGUGCCAGCCGCCGCCGUAA